GCGUAUCUGAGGUCUUUUAGGGAUGCCCUUCCAGAUGACUGGAAAAAGGAAUUUUGGAAACUACUGUAUUCCUCACUUUGUUGCUUCUACCUUCCAAAUUCUGCUGCUGCUGAGACAGAUAUCUCUGCUCUAACAUGGCCAGUCCUAACUCUGGAAAGCAUGCUUUAAUUUGAGAGUACUGUUGCAUCUAAAAAGACGCAGCUCUUGAGAGAGAAUUUGAAGGAGAAAAAAAAUCAACAAAAGAAAUCUCACGAUUCGGAGAGGAGCCAAACGUUGGAAGGUGAAGGAAAGAUUAAGAAGAAAUUGCCUGUUACAGAACUUCAUUAAAGUCAUUUAUUAGCUUUGUAAUGCCUAAUAGUCUGCUGGCUCCAGAAUUUUUUCAUAUAGGGAAGUGGAUAAGGGAGCAUUUCACUUUCAUUUGCAUUCUUGAUCCCUGCUGCUCUGUUUAUAGCGUUGAUGCUAUUCAUACAGUCUUUGCAAUAUUAAUUUUUAAUUUAUGAUGCUCAUUAGGAGACACUUAAAACAGAACAAUUAUCAUUUAUCUUGAUAUAUUAUUUACUAAGACUUGCUGUCAUGGUUAGGGACUUGUGAUUAGUGGGAGGGGAAUAAAAAGCAGUUCUGAAAGGUGCUUGGCUGAAGGGUUGGGACUUAGGAAGCAGUUGUCAUCACUGAAGGCCUGAAGUUCUGAUGUUUAAGCAAAAGACUUGCAUCACCUAAUCAAAACUCAGGAGGAACCUUUGGAGAUGAGCCUGGGACAGUGCUUAAUGAACCUGCAGAAUAAUAUUAAUGAAACUCACUCGUAAACCACCAGCUCAUCAAUUAUUCAUCCUGCUAUCGUCCUGGUACUUUACUGUCUUCCCUUUUUGUCUCAAUGUGAUUUUUUUUCUUUUUUAAUUCCCUGUACCCUCAUUUUCCUUUUGUGGAUUUGCUGACAUGUACCCAUGGUACCACUUUCUCUCUGGGAAACUGUAUUUCUCAAGGCAGGCACAGCUCUAUACGGGAACAGGAUGGGUAAAUGGUGCUUUUUGAGGCAUUUGGAUAAAUGUGCCACGUUUGUGAAAACUUAAUAAACCAAAUCACUGCUGUGACAGCCCUGGAUAAUCCAAUUUGUUAAAAUCCAUCGUAUUGGAAACUCAGAAUAAUCUAUGCAUUUUUUUUAUUAAUUUGCAGUGUUUGCUAAGUUGUUCCAAACUGUCUGCAUAGAAGCCUAUGUGGUAAAGCAACUUCUAAUGGCAUGACCUAGUAGGAAUACAUAA